CUAGCCGUAAACGAUGGAUACUAGGCGUUGUGAGUAUCGACCCUCACAGUGUCGUAGCUAACGCGUUAAGUAUCCCGCCUGGGGAGUACGCGCGCAAGCGUGAAACUCAAAGGAAUUGACGGGGGCCCGCACAAGCGGUGGAGUAUGUGGUUUAAUUCGAUGCAACGCGAAUAACCUUACCAGGACUUGACAUGUCGCGAAUCUCAGGGAAACUUGAGAGUGCCUUCGGGAGCGCGAACACAGGUGGUGC
rnacentral:rRNA from 1 species